GAAGGUAUAGCUUAACGGCAGAGCGUGCGCUUAGCACGCGUGAGGUCCUGGGUUCAAUCCCCAGCACCUCCA
rnacentral:tRNA from 1 species